ensembl:lncRNA
AUGGCUCUUUGCUGCUUGUUUUCCCCUCUUUUCUCCUUCCCUCUCUCUCUUUUCUCCUUCCCUCUCUCUCUUUUCUCCUUCCCUCUCUCUCUUUUCUCCUUCCCUCGCUCUCUUUUCUCCUUCCCUCGCUCUCUUUUCUCCUUCCCUCUCUCUUUUCUCCUUCCCUCUCUCUUUUCUCCUUCCCUCUCUCUUUUCUCCUUCCCUCUCUCUUUUCUCCUUCCCUCUCUCUCUUUUCUCCUUCCCUCUCUCUUCUCCUUCCUUCCCUCCCUCUCUCUUCUCCUUCCUUCCCUCCCUCUCGUGUCUCCUUCCCUCCCUCUCUUUUCUCCUUCCUUCCCUCCCUCUCGUUUCUCCUUCCUUCCCUCCCUCUCUUUUCUCCUUCCUUCCCUCCCUCUCUUUUCUCCUUCCUUCCCUCCCUCUCUUUUCUCCUUCCUUCCCUCCCUCUCUUUUCUCCUUCCUUCCCUCCCUCUCUUUUCUCCUUCCUUCCCUCUCUCUCUUUUCUCCUUCCUUCCCUCUCUCUCUUUUCUCCUUCCUUCCCUCUCUCUCUUUUCUCCUUCCCUCCCUCUCUUUUCUCCUUCCCUCUCUCUCUUUUCUCCUUCCUUCCCUCUCUCUCUUUUCUCCUUCCUUCCCUCCCUCUCUUUUCUCCUUCCUUCCCUCCCUCUCUGUUCUCCUUCCUUCCCUCUCUCUCUCUUUUCUCCUUCCUUCCCUCUCUCUCUCUUCUCCUUCCUUCCCUCCCUCUCUCUUCUCCUUCCUUCCCUCUCUCUCUCUUCUCCUUCCUUCCCUCCCUCUCUCUUCUCCUUCCUUCCCUCUCUCUUUUCUCCUUCCUUCCCUCUCUCUUUUCUCCUUCCUUCCCUCUCUUUUCUCCUUCCUUCCCUCUCUUUUCUCCUUCCUUCCCUCCCUCUCUUCUCCUUCCUUCCCUCCCCCUCUCUUCUCCUUCCUUCCCUCCCUCUCUCUUCUCCUUCCUUCCCUCCCUCUCUCUUCUCCUUCCUUCCCUCCCUCUCUCUUCUCCUUCCUUCCCUCCCUCUCUUUUCUCCUUCCCUCCCUCUCUUUUCUCCUUCCCUCCCUCCCUCUCUUUUCUCCUUCCUUCCCUCCCUCUCGUUUCUCCUUCCUUCCCUCCCUCUCGUUUCUCCUUCCUUCCCUCCCUCUCUUUUCUCCUUCCUUCCCUCCCUCUCUUUUCUCCUUCCUUCCCUCCCUCUCGUUUCUCCUUCCUUCCCUCCCUCUCGUUUCUCCUUCCCUCUCUCUCUCUUUUCUCCUUCCUUCCCUCCCUCUUUUUUCUCCUUCCUUCCCUCCCUCUUUUUUCUCCUUCCUUCCCUCUCUUCUCCUUCCUUCCUUCCCUCUCUUUUCUCCUCUCUUCCUUCCCUCUCUUUUCUCCUUCCCCCUCUCUCUUCUCCUUCCUUCCUUCCUUCCAUCUUUUCUCCUUCCCCCUCUCUCUUCUCCUUCCUUCCUUCCUUCCAUCUUUUCUCCUUCCCCCUCUCUCUUUUCUCCUUCCCUCUCUUUUCUCCUUCCUUCCCUCUCUCUCUUUUCUCCUUCCUUCCCUCUCUCUCUUUUCUCCUUCCUUCCCUCUCUCUCUUUUCUCCUUCCUUCCCUCUCUCUCUUUUCUCCUUGCUUCCCUCUCUCUUUUCUCCUUCUCUCUUUUCUCCUUCUCUCUCUUUUCUCUCUUUUCUCCUUCUCUCUCUUUUCUCCUUCCUUCCCUCUCUUUUCUCCUUCCCUCUCUUUUCUCCUUCUCUCUCUUUUCUCCUUCCUUCCCUCUCUUUUCUUUUUCUCCUUCUCUCUCUUUUCUCCUUCCCCCUCUCUGCCUCUAUCGUUGUAAAAAGUACCCUCUUAAUGCUAGGUUAUAUACACUCUCUCUCCUUCUUUCUGCCCUGUCUGUCAUUCUCUACUAUCUGUUCUCGUAGAUCCUUGCCCUCGCCACUCCUUCAGGUGUUGUGCGUUCUUUUUGAACAUGGCAGUGGCCUUAGGCCCUUCUUCUCCUAG